UUAACCGGGAAGUAAAAGCGGCACCAUAACCAAGAGUUAGUAUUGAUUCUUCUGGAGCUCUAACUAUGAAAAGAAACUAAAGAUAUUUUUUCUGAGGUUUUGUCCUGUAAAACUGGCCAGAGGAAAAAAAUCAGGCUUCACAUAACAAAUCAUCAGUUUCUGAGCGUUGAGGAAUUGGUCCCAAGUGGGCAAGUUUGGUGGCAGCAGGCAUAGAGAGUUACUCUUAAUGAGACAACCCAAUCAAGCAAUACCACAAAGGCCUCUGAUGACACUGGCUGCUAUGAGGAUAAUGUGUUGUACGGGACAGAGAACAGUGGAGAUUCCAGAAAUAGGAGGGACAAAAAGAUAAACCAGAAGCUGGUGGUGGCGGCAUUUGAGGACAUGCUCAAACACCAGAAGGCAUUCAUGGAUAAAUGAACAAAUGAUUGGAAGAACACCCAGAAAAACCCUGAGAAGGCACCUUGGAAGGUUCUACAGAAAAGGAGUACUCACAGGAAGCCCUCGGGGUCCUCGGGGUCCCACUUCUCCUGGAGGCCCCUGUUGGCCCUGUUAUGAGGAAAGCAAGGAAAGAAAAAGUUAACAAUCCCUAAUUCUUUGCUCACUGAUUGCAACAGGUUAUAAUAUAAGGAAAGGUAACUCAUGGCAUCUUACCGGUUUGCCUGAAUUCCCCAAUUGACCAGGCUUCCCUGGAGCACCUGUGUUACCCUAAAGGUAAAGAGCAACAUUCAGGGUAAUUCAGACAGCAAGUAAGCAUAUCAUCAACCUGUCUAGGCCAGACCAGGCAUUUCUGACACCUAAAUAGCAUUAAUUUCCCAAUUUCACAUUGAGAAUUUGGGAAGAUGUAGAAUCUCUUUCUUAGUGGAUACAUUAAAAAGUUUUUCAGAUUCAGGAUAAUGUUCUGUUAUUCCCACAAGUAUAGUAAAGGUGUCAAAAAGUCCAAAAGUGAAGGUCAAAUGUCAAAAAAAUGAAGGUCAUUAGCCAGACAAGAAUAUGAGAAAAGU